GUUGAGAGUUCCUUCUGCCACGUUUUUUCUCUAUUUCACAAUGGGCUCAACCAGCAGAACUGGGGAGAAUCAUCAUUGGACCAAGACUGAUACAUAUACACGUGCAAGAUUCCACCACUUCAGCAACAAGAGUGGCCUCCAAACUUCUUUCUUCAGACAGAUCUCUCUCUGCUUUUUGCAGCCACUGAGUUUGAGCUCAGCAUCCAUAAACUGUUCAACCACUUGCCAUUCAGGAGGAGGAACCAUGCACACUGAUGAGAUUUGAGAUCAACAGCAGUUUGGAGUAGAGGCUGUAGUUAAGGAGAGAAUAAAGGUAAAGGGGAUUUCAUAAAAACAAAAGAAAAUUUCCAUUUACAGUCAAGAGACUCACUAUUGAAGACUUUGCUUACACACAAGUGUCAAGUUGAAUUCUACAUUUGAUUCUGCUGCCUUCAUCUAAUGAACUAGUGUAAAAGAGCCACAGUAAUCUGAAGGUAUGGUUCCUGGGAGCACACACAAUUUGUUCUUACCAGAUAACUUCCACAGCCAGUACCAGACCUCUGAAAAGCCCAGAAGAAAAAGCCUCUCAGAUCCAAGCAAUUUAAAUUCAAUGAAACUGAUUUGGCUUGCAGUUAGCUCCCUAGGAAGUAAUGAAAGAGGUAAUUAAAAGACUGGACAACUGUUUUAAGUAAAACAUUAUUCAUUAGAGUAAAAACAUUUCAGAUAAGCUGUUUCCAGGCCAUGAAAGCCAGCUCUGUCUUUCUGUGCAUCACUACAGUGACCCAGUUCCAGAUGGGGGAAUGAGACCUCCUUUCUGAAGGUCCCACCACUGCCUGCUUCUGCUGGAGAAGGAGGAGACAGAUACAUUAGAAAAGGUAGAAAAAUCCAGGAAGUGUUGGGAUUUUCCUUAACUCGCUCCUCUCCAGAAAUUUUACUCCUUUAUUGCAAGAUGCAGGAUUCCCAGCCUCUCUCACCUAACCUCCUAUGUCAUCCUCAAAAAGCUGCCCUCAACUUUCAUCUGGUAAAAGAGUGUAAAAAAAAAAUCCCUCUUUCCUGAAGGAGGUGGAUUCCUUGGAGUUAAAGAUCUGUGGGAUGCUGGGAGGAUGCACUGAUGUUGAAAAGUCUUGGACAGUGGAAUUUGAUCAGCAUCUUCGUUUUGAGAAAGGAAAAAAUAGUGCUGGUGUCAGGAAGAGAGUAAGUCCCAGCUGUGUCUAGGACAGUGCUCCAAUGGCAGCAGCAGAGCAGGCAGAAAAUUAUUCUCUGAAUUGAAGUAGGAAAACGUUUACUACUCAGUCAAGGAACUGAGUAAUUUGCAACUUCCUAAAAGCUAUUUCCCAGGGAAAAAAAACCCCAACCAAUCAUUAAAAAUACAAAAAACCCCCUUUAAAUAAAUUCACCUAUGUGAAGGUGAAUAGCAGCAGAACAAGAUCUGUGCAUCAGUGCUCCCACAUACACACACACGCCAUGGUAAUAUUUUUGAAGACUGUUAAAUGGCAUUUUGUAACUACAUCUCUGUAGUGGGUUUGAGCACACCCUAACUACCAACUGCAUCACUGUAAU
rnacentral:lncRNA from 12 species